GCCGCGGUAAGACUGAGGUGGCAAGCGUUGUUCGGAAUUACUGGGCUUAAAGGGCGUGUAGGCGGUGAGGUAAGUCUGAGGUGGAAUCCUAUAGCUUAACUAUAGAACUGCCUUGGAUACUGUUUCACUUGAGUCAGUGAGAGGAGGGCGGAAUUCCCGGCGUAGCGGUGAAAUGCGUAGAUAUCGGGAGGAAGGCCGGUGGCGAAGGCGGCCCUCUGGCGCUGAACUGACGCUCGCGCGUAGUAGCCGUGGGUAGCAAACAGGAUUAGAUACCCUGGUAGUCCACGCCCUAAACGGUGGGCGUUAGGUGUAGGGCUCGUAAGGGUUCUGUGCCGAAGGGAAACCAUUAAAUGCCCCGCCUGGGGAGUACGGCCGCAAGGUUGAAACUCAAAUGAA
rnacentral:rRNA from 1 species